AUUAGUGACGCGCAUGAAUGGAUUAACGAGAUUCCCACUGUCCCUAUCUACUAUCUAGCGAAACCACAGCCAAGGGAACGGGCUUGGAAAAAUCAGCGGGGAAAGAAGACCCUGUUGAGCUUGACUCUAGUCUGACUCUGUGAAGAGACAUGAGAGGUGUAGCAUAAGUGGGAGGCCGUGAACCCUCGUGGUUGUGUCGUGCCGACAGUGAAAUACCACUACUUUCAUCGUUUCUUUACUUACUCGGUGAAGCGGAAAGCGGACCAUGAGUGUCCACGCUUCUAGCACUAAGUGCAAGGCCCUUCGUUGGCUCGCACGAUCUGUUCCGAGGACAGUGUCAGGCGGGGAGUUUGACUGGGGCGGUACAUCUGUCAAAUGGUAACGCAGGUG
rnacentral:rRNA from 1 species